rnacentral:rRNA from 1 species
GACGAACGCUGGCGGCGUGCUUAACACAUGCAAGUCGAACGGAAAGGCCCUGCUUUUGUGGGGUUCUCGAGUGGCGAACGGGUGAGUAACACGUGAGUAACCUGCCCUUGACUUUGGGAUAACUUCAGGAAACUGGGGCUAAUACCGGAUAGGAGCUCCUGCUGCAUGGUGGGGGUUGGAAAGUUUCGGCGGUGGGGGAUGGACUCGCGGCUUAUCAGCUUGUUGGUGGGGUAGUGUCUUACCAAGGCUUUGACGGGUAGCCGGCCUGAGCGGGUGGCCGGCUUCGUUGGGGCUGGGAUACGGCCCAGACUCCUACGGGAGGCAGCAGUGGGGAAUAUUGCCCAAUGGGCGGACGCCUGAUGCGGCAACGCCGCGUGCGGGAAGACGGCCUUCGGGUUGUGAAGCGCUUUCGCCUGUGACGAAGCGUGAGUGACGGUAAUGGGUAAAGAAGCACCGGCUAACUACGUG